rnacentral:rRNA from 1 species
UACGUAGGGUGCGAGCGUUUGUCCGGAAUUACUGGGCGUAAAGAGCUCGUAGGUGGUUUGUCGCGUUGUUCGUGAAAACUCACAACUCAAUUGUGGGCGUGCGGGCGAUACGGGCAGACUGGAGUACUGCAGGGGAGACUGGAAUUCCUGGUGUAGCGGUGGAAUGCGCAGAUAUCAGGAGGAACACCGGUGGCGAAGGCGGGUCUCUGGGCAGUAACUGACGCUGAGGCGCGAAAGCGUUGGGGAGCAAACAGG